CAAAGAGGAACCUGUGAUGGCUGUGACUCCUGUGAGAGCGGUCAUCGCGUCGUUUUAGGUGUUUUCAUCCAUCAGCACCUCUAUGUGCAUAAAAUGUGCACAUUGAACUAUGUAGUCAAAUAUCUAUGAAUCCCUUCUGUUCCAUGCUAUAUCUGUGAGCAACAAACCACACGAACGAGGAAAGUCGUCGGGAUGGCCUUCCAACAGCAGUCAUACAGUAUCGUAGAAUAUUACGCGGAACACGAGGGCUAUCGGUGUGGCUACUGCAAGAGCUCUACCAGGAAUUUCAGUCACGGUAUGUGGCCGCACACGUUGACGCUGCAAGACUACCAAAGUUUGAUAGACAGGGGUUGGAGAUGGAACGGCUGCUAUUGUUAUAAACGAUGAAUCAGACCUGCUGUCCUCAGUAUACCAUUAGAUGCGAAGUGCUAAAUUUUAAGAUAUCAAAGUCCCAGAAAAAAUUCUAAAACGCAUGAUUAAAUUUUUGAAAAAUAAAUUGACAAAUGAUAGUUCUGGAGGUACAAGUGAAGAUCAACAAGAUAAUAUAGAUAUAAGCAAUGAAGAGGCAUUAAACUAUUCUAAGCAUUUGACAAAAGAGCAGAAAGAUAAAUCUCAGAUUGAUGUUUUGUCUGUCGAUGAAGUUGGUGGAAGAUUGUCCAUUAAUUUAGUAAAAAACAGAAACUCAGAAAAAUUUGACUUUUGCAUUGAGUAGCAAUCAAGCGCAGUUAACAAAUUCCAACAGCAAAAAUAUCUUGCACGUUAGAAGUGAGAUCACCGAUGUGGUACCUUGCAAGAAGGCCAAAUUAUUACGCAUAGAACGUAAGAAAAAUCUAUCGUAUUUAGAUAAAACUAUCCCUACUUUCGAUUCAAGUUACACAUUUUUUACUGUCAGAAUGUUAAAGUUUUCUAAGUUUUGCAUUGUAAUUAUAAGAGCAAAAUGUAUUGGAUAUUUUUGGUAUUAGAAAUAUAAAAUUUCAAAAUAUAAA